rnacentral:antisense_RNA from 1 species
AUCUCAGACUGCUGUGCUAGCAAUCAGCGAGACUCCGUGGGCGUAGGACCCUCCGAGCCAGUAAGAUGAACCCGGUACCUCAGAUGGAAAUGCGGAAAUCACCCGUCUUCUGCGUCGCUCACCCUGGGAGCUGUAAACCGGAGCUGUUCCUGUUCGGCCAUCUUGGCUCCUCCCUCAGGUAUCCUUCAGAAAGCCUGGGCAAUAAACCGAAGGCUCCUAAAAAGAGCAAAGUGUCUGCCAGGCACGAUGGCUCAUGCCUGUAAUCCCAGAACUUUGGGAGACCAAGGCAGGUGGAUCACCUGAGUUCGGGAGUUCGAGACAAGCCUGACCAACGUGGUAAAACCCUAUCUCUACUAAAAAUACAAAAUUAGCCAGGCAUGGGGGCAUAUGCCUGUAAUCCCAGCUAUGUGGGAGGCUGAGGCAGGAGAAUCACUUGAACCCAGGAGGCAGAGGUUGCAGUGAACUGAGAUGGCGCCAUUGCACUCCAGCUUGGGCAACAGGAGUGAAACUCCAUCUCAAACAACAACAACAACAACAACAACAACAACAAAAACACUUUCACACCUGAAUGACUAAAUAAUUGGAAAUAAUAAGGGUUGAGGGGGAGAAUAAAGCUACUGAAAUAUGGAAAGAAGACUAACACUACUUUUAAACUGAUGUUCUACUAAUGUAGACCCGUACAUCAUAUCACCAUUACAUUGUUUAAGCAUUAAAGUUUGCACUGUAAGUGGCUCUUUAAACCCUUCCCUCCAUUUCUUUUCCCUCUC